GGUUUUAUGUGCUCUCACAAAAAGGCCUCUGCUUUUUGCAGCCAUGGUGGAUUAGACUCUUUCUGAUAGAUCAGAUCAGUACUUGGAUCCUUGCUUUGACUUUCAAGUAUGUUCAACUCGUGGAACUUCAGAUUGCGUUGAUACAAGUUUGAUGCUGGUGCUCUUUCAUUCUCUUACACUCUUCGAUGAGUACAUGCAGCAGUUCAAGAGAGGCCUGUUUGCUCCAACACCUGCAGUACCCUCAUCAUAGUUUAGCCCAGGAAUGAAGAAUGAGACAUCAGAGAGAGCUGGGAUUUUCUGUAAAGGGUGAUUGCCCCCUCUCUACUAUUUAUGUCCAUGAUUUCUUUCUCCAUUCAGAAAAAAACAACAGUCCUUUGAGAAAAAGAAAAGAUCAAGAAACUGAAAACGAGACCAUGCAGGCGUUUGGCCAUAGAUUCCAAAUAUAUAUAUGCUUUUUCUGCUUGUGCUUCUGCAAGGUAGAAAUGACACAACAAGGUAGCUGCUUUUUUUAAGAGUUCGGAACGUAAAUGAGGUGUUUUAUUGAUGUUGAUUGAUCUGAUAAAAUGGGCUGUGAUGAUGAUUUGCUUCUUUCUGGACUAUAAUCUGCUUCACUGCGUUGAGAAAAUCCGACUCGUAUCUUGGCAGGGCGACCCGGUAAGGCAUCCAUUUGCAAAUCGGUGUAUCUGCAGCCAUGGCAAUGUCGCUUUCUCUUUGCAUGUUCUUAUACAGCAAAAUCUGAGCCCUUUAGUCUAUGGCAAGCGUGUGAUUAUCUUAAAUGGAUGGUCGUUUCAGGAACUGAGAUACGCAGUUGGAUUUUUCAGCUUUUGUUGAACCCCAUUUUUCAGAUGCAGUUCUCCAUCAAAAUUUUAUCUCAAAAAUGAGGUUAUCGGAGUAAAAAGGGAUUUUUCAGGGUGGUUGACCAUCUCCGGUAUACCAGUGAUUUUAUCUUAGCUCUAAUCAACAGCUUUUAUAUUAUAUAUAUAAAUAAUAAUAAUUGGAUGUCUCUUUCUGUCUCUCAGUCUGUUACUGCUUUUACAGGAAAAGCAGCUGCAAAAGCAUAGAAAAAUGGAGGUUCAGCCCAAUAUGAAGAAUGAGGCCAACAGAGAAAAAGGGAAUUCUUUGAGGGUGCCUCUGCUUGGCCUAUGAUUUCCCCAUAAACAAAAUUAACAACCCUCUUUAGAAGUACUAGUACUGUUUAUUGUUUUCUCUAAAUUCUUUGAGGGUAGUUGCCCUCUCUAAUUGACCUAUGAUUUCUCUGACCAACCAAACGAACAAUCCUCCGUUGGUAUAUGUUUCUAUUGAUGAUUAGUUGAUAGCAGCGGUAGUAAUACUCCCUCUCUUCUAAUUCACUUGUCUUGAACCUGUUCACUAUUGAUAUGGAAAAGAAUCCAUCUUUCGAAGGAGGCAGUGAUAAUAUUGCCAAUUCUGGGCAAGGAGAAAAUCCGACUCGUAUCUUGGUGGGGCAAACCCAGAUUAUGUAACUGGUUGAUUUUGCAGCCACGGUGUUGUCAUCUUCUCUUUGCCCCAUUUUACACAGAUCUGAGCCUCAACAUCCAAUGAGUUCCAGGAUCCAAACCCCGAAAUUCAUUUGAUGGAAACCUUGUUCAUUUUAGCUCUAAAGGACAAGCCAAUCGGAGGAAAAUGGGCAUUUUUACAGGGUGGUCGACCAUCUCUGGUAUGUCAAUGAUUUCUUUGCUCUAAUCAACAAUUCUUUUAGCUUUUGUAUGUGGGUGAAGUGCACAAAUAGCUGCUUUUAGACCAUUUCCAACGUCAUUGGGUGUUGUAAUUUCCUGUAUUUUAGGACCCUGUUUAGAGAAUAGCUGAAGUUUACAAAGUUGCAGGGACUUACAGUUUACAGAGUAAUGGAAGCUUAGCCCAGUAUGAAGAAUGAGGCCAACAGGGA